rnacentral:rRNA from 1 species
AUUGAACGCUGGCGGCAGGCCUAACACAUGCAAGUCGAACGAGUGGCGGACGGGUGAGUAAUGUCUGGGAAACUGCCCGAUGGAGGGGGAUAACUACUGGAAACGGUAGCUAAUACCGCAUACCAUCGGAUGUGCACAGAUGGGAGUAGCUUGUAGGUGAGGUAACGGCUCACCUAGGCGACGAUCCCUAGCUGGUCUGAGAGGAUGACCAGCCACACUGGGACUGUGACACGGUCACGACUCCUACGGGAGGCAGAAGUGGGGAAUAUUGCACAAUGGGCGCAAUCCGGAUGCCGCCAUGCCGCGUGUAGGAAGAAGGCCUUCGGGUUGUAAAGUACUUUCAGCGGGGAGGCGUUACCCACAGAAGAAGCACCGGCUAACUCCGUGCCAGCAGCCGCGGUAAUAC